rnacentral:rRNA from 1 species
GAUGAACGCUGGCGGCGUGCUUAACACAUGCAAGUCGAACGAAGCGCUUAAAUGGAUUUCUUCGGAUUGAAGUUUUUGUGACUGAGUGGCGGACGGGUGAGUAACGCGUGGGUAACCUGCCUCAUACAGGGGGAUAACACCUGGAAACAGAUGCUAAUACCGGAUAACAACACUAGACGCAUGUCUAGAGUUUGAAAGAUGGUUCUGCUAUCACUCUUGGAUGGACCUGCGGUGCAUUAGCUAGUUGGUGAGGUAACGGCCCACCAAGGCGACGAUCGGUAGCCGGACUGAGAGGUUGAACGGCCACAUUGGGACUGAGACACGGCCCAG